rnacentral:rRNA from 1 species
AUUGAACGCUGGCGGCAGGCCUAACACAUGCAAGUCGAGCGAGCGGCGGACGGUUGAGUAAUGUAUGGGGACUGCCCGAUAGAGGGGGAUCACUACUGGAAACGGUAGCUAAUACCGCAUACUAUCGGCUAACCCAUAAGGGAUUAGCUAGUAGGUGAGGUAAUGGCUCACCUAGGCGACGAUCCCUAGCUGGUCUGAGGGGAUUAUCAGCCAACCUGGGAUGGGAACAGGGCACAGACUCCAACGGAGGUAGCAGUGGGGAAUAUUGGACAGUGGGCGCAAGCCUGAUGAGGCCAUGCCGCGUGUAUGAAGAGGGCCCUAGGGUUGUAAAGUAUUUUCUGUCGGGAGACGUUACCAACAGGAGAAGCACCGGCUAACUCCGUGCCAGCAGCCGGGUAAUUC